ACGGCUGUGGUCCAGCGGUAUGUACGCUAAAAGACACGACCCUCCCAAGGUCGUUACCUGGGUUCGAAUCCCGGCAGCCGUA
rnacentral:tRNA from 1 species